UACGUAGGGGGCAAGCGUUGUCCGGAAUCAUUGGGCGUAAAGAGCGUGUAGGCGGCCCGGUAAGUCUGUUGUGAAAGUCCAGGGCUCAACCCUGGAAAGCCGAUGGAUACUGCCGGGCUAGAGAUUCGGAAGAGGCGAGUGGAAUUCCUGGUGUAGCGGUGGAAUGGCGCAGAUAUCAGGAGGAACACCUAUAGCGAAGGCAGCGUCGCUGGGACGACACUGACGCUGAGACGCGAAAGCGUGGGGAGCAAACAGG
rnacentral:rRNA from 1 species